GAGGAGGUCGAGGUUACUGCUAUCACGGAUGCUGCUACAGAGGAUACAAUGGCUGCAGAAGGUGUUGCUCGUACGCUGGAGAAGCUGUUCAGACUCAGCCUGGUCACUAAAACAAUACAACCUAUUCACCAAACGAUGCAUGAUUACAUUAUGUGUGUCUCACUUUAAGUAAAGCCAUGGUGCCUUUGUAAUGAAGUGCCUCAAGUCUUUGAGGCAUGAUGGAAUAAAAAGUAUAACCUGUGGGAAUAAAGUUUGAUAAUGUAAUGCUUAUGUGUUUUGAGUUGUAAUAUGUGCACGUUUUGUCACAAAAAGAAGAAGAUUGUGUGUACUGUAUGUUAAUCUCUUUCAGGUUUUUUUGUGUGGGUAAUAGUGUGAUAUGUACUUUGUUCCAGCAUUAUUCAUACACAUGAUACAUGCUGAAUUAAAGCAUAUAUAACCGGGUCAGAAUUAGGCAUGACCGCGUUACGAUUAUCUACGGUUUAUUAACCACCGGUUACGGUUAUAAAUUUUCUUUAACCAUAACCUUAACCUUUAUAUAUAGGGUCACAACGAUUACGGUUAUACACAAUUACCGUUAAAUCCGGUUACGGUUAAAUAUGGGUACGGUUAAUUGAUAAUUAUGAUAUAUAUAAUAUUAUAAGCAAAAUUUUAUAUUUUUUUACCAUAUCAAAUAAUUUUUAUUUACAAUAUGAAAUAUAUGUAAUUAUAUGAUUCAAAUAUUUAUAGUAUAUCAGUUAAAGAAAUUAUUUUUGUUUAAUCAAACACAACUACAAAUAUAUAAAUUAAUGGUUAUGAACCUACAACUAUUUAAAAUUAAAUUAUUUUUGAUUUGAUUAAUGGAAAUGAGAAGUGGAGUGGGUAAGAGUUACUAGUUUACACAUUUACUCAUUUAAAUUUUUUUUUUGAUGAAAUAAUUUUAUUAAAGGUUUAACCGUACGGUUAAUUAUAUGGUUAACCAAUGGUUUUCUACGGUUACGGUUGAUAACGGUUACGGUUAAUAUUUUUUUUAUAACCGUGAAUGAUUUAGUUUUUACGGUUAACGGUUAUAUUUUUUAACCGUUUUAUACGGUUACGGUUGAAAGUUAGAAAUACGGUUAAAGUUAGAUUUUGGUUAUACCUAGUAAGAAUACCUCUAAUAAAGCCUAUUAUUCAAAAUAGAAGUUUUACUCAUGUUAGUUUUAAUAGCCAAAAUUUCCGCUCAACAACCUUGUUCGUUUGCGAGUAAUGAAAUAAAACUAUUGGUGUAAGUUCCACCAUUCGUAGGAGUUUUUCCAUCUUGGAGUUAAUCAAAUAUUUGUUUCAUCCAUAUCUCUAUUAAUUUUUUCAGCCCAAAAGUUUGCUAUAAAUAAAACUACAAAAAUAAAUCAUUUCUCAAAGAAUGCUAAAACUUUUAUGGACUGCCUGUACUACUCUCCCUGAAAUAUAUCGUUUCAACUAGGUUCUUCCUAUACUUUCAGCCUCUGCCCAAUUUCACCUAUACGAUAUAUAUCUAUCAAAUUUCAUCCAAACUAUAUAAUUCUAUCCAAUUAACCAAAAUCAAUUAAAUUUUUCAAUAACGUUUUAUAAUUGAUAAUUAGAGUACACUAUACUGCGAUUUGAUUAAGUCUUACAUGAAUAUGAGAUCCCGUCUCUCUUUUUAACCGCAAAUGAACCCCCAUUUUAAGGUUUCAUCAAAAUCAAAUCAAUGGAAAAAAUAGAAAACAAAAUUAACGACUUUAAAAAGCGAAUUUUUGAUUUUAAAACGCAAUUGAGAAGCUAAAUGAUUUGGGUUAACCUUUUUUUAACCCCAAAUGAACCCCCACUUUUAGCUUUCAUGAAAAUCAAAUCAAUUUGAGAGAAAAUAGAAAACGCAAUUAUCAAUCUUAAAACACUAUUGAGAUUUUAAAAUGAUUUUGGUUGAUUGGAUAAAAUUAUAUAGUUUGGAUGUAAUUUGAUCGAAUAUAUAUCGUAUAGGUGGAAUUGGGCAGAGGCUGAAAAUAUAAAGGAAACCUAGUUGAAACGAUAUAUUACAGGAGGACUAGUACAUGCAUAUAUAAAAGUUUUGUUUUCUUUCUAAAUGCAUCUAUAUAUAUAAAAUUAACUUUUUCUCUAUUCUCCUUAUGCCACAUCAUCUUCCACAUCAGCUGCCACAUCAUCAUUUAUCUUAAUUUUUUUACAUUGAUUUAGAAUUACAACACUUUAGUUUUUAAUUUAUAGUCUACCUCAUAACUUAGCUUUUAUUUAAUUUUUAUAUUCAAUAGUGGUUUUAAGAAAAUAAAUAAUAUAGUAAAAACAUUUAUGUCCAAAAUAAAUAAAACAAGUAUCUAUUUAUAAAGUAAUGAUCAAUUUUUUAUUAAUGGGGCUAAAUACAAAACAAGGAUAUUUAUACUAUACAGAUAGAUAUACCACUAAAUUGAUGUCAUCCGAAGCCACAUCAAACGAGAACGCAAUCAAUUUUAGGCAUAAGAAGUAGAAAAAAAACUAAAAAGUAAAAUGAAAACACUUGGAUAAAUAAAUAAGUGGAUUCACCAGAAUAAUUUGGUUUACAAGAACUGAAGGCUUUUGAAAUGUAAGGUUCUAACAUCUAUUAUUUGACCUAAAUCAAAGUUAAACAAAUAACAAUAAAAAUUUCAUAUACUAAAUUAAUACAAAAACAAGAGUAAAAACAAAAAAUAAACAAAAAACAAAAAAAAAUUCAAAAUAUAAAAAAACAAUUAUAAAACUCCUGCGUGCAGCGCGGAUCAGCAACUAGUUGCAAAUAAAGCUUAAUUUUAUGAUACCUGAUUUGGUAACCUCUUUGGUUGAUUCUCUAUUAAUAUUUUCCGAUCUCUUGUACUGCAUAUUUUAAAAAGUAAUCUGAAAAUCAGUUAUUAUUCAUCCAUUACUGCUUGUGAGUCCUCCACUCCUCCGAAGAGUCAUCGGUAUAUAUAAACAUAGAAUUCUAUUUCUCACCCUUUUUCUGUAGAAGCAUGAAAACUUUUAACCAAAAAUUUCUAAUUUUUUUUUUCAGAUAUAACUCAAACAUCUUCUCUCUCUCUCUUCACAAAGAGAGUCAUUUUAGAGAAAAAAAAUUGUUUCACAAAAAAUGUCAUUCUACAUUUCCAAUGUAGAUUGUACAUUAAAUUUCCAAAUUUACCUAUAAACCAAAAGUUCAUUUUAUUAAUGUAAAAUUAUUAAUCAUUUAUUAAGUAAGGAUAAAUAUGUAUAGUUCAAAGUUUUCUAAAUUUGUGUGAAAAGCGUCAAAACAGAUGAAAUAUUAUUUUUUUCUAGAUUCUUGUGUGAUUACUCCUGCAAAACAUGAAGUCACCAUAUAAUUAGAUUCAUCCAAAGCCAACUUAAGAGAGAUGAUAUUCGUCUGGCCCUAGAGAGCAUCAUUUUUUCUUCACACAUUUUUAAUGGAAUAAUUGGAGAAAUAGACAGUUUUUGAAACAUAAUUGUAGAAAUAGUACAAUUACUAUUUACAAUUAGCAAAAUCCACAUUUUUACUAUGCUAUUUUAUUUCUUUGCCUUGUCAAUACUCAUCAAAACGUCUUAUUUACAACAAUGCCAUUAAUAUAUAAUUAAAUUAUAUUUUUCUUUCCUCUCAGAUUUUUAAUUAAUAUUUAUUUUUUUUUUCUUUUUUCUUUUUUAUUACAUUCUCCUUUCAAUCUAAAAACUAAAAUACUAGUCAAUGAAAAUUUUUAUUUUUACAAGUUUCAAAUAUAUAAAAAUCUAUGUUUUUUUCUCUAUUAUAUGAUAUGCAUUUUGUUUGAAGAUUUUAUUUGAUAAUAACAAAUAAUUUUUAUUAAUUUUAGAUAUGUACAAUUUACUAAGUGUACAGAUCUAAUCCGUACAACUUAAAACGUGUACAUAUGUACAUAUGUACAACUUAAUAAGUGUACAAAUAUUAGUAUACAAGUCGUAAACGAUUGUACACGUAUUUGUACAAUAGGAUAUAUGUACAAAUACAAUUGUACAGAUCAAACUGUAUAUUUAUUAUAUGUACAGAAAAAUGUAUGUAUAAAAACUAUAUACAAUGAUAUAUGUACAUAUAUAAUUGUAUGUAUAUUGACUAUUAUAUUGUAUUGUACACGUAUUUGUACAAUAUAAUAUAUAUGUACAAAUACAAUUGUACAGAUCAAACUGUACACAUAUUAUAUGUACAAAUGAAUUGUACAUUGUACAGAUGUCUUUUGUACAUCUACCCUUUUGUAAUUUACCACCACUACACUAUACCCCACUUUCUCAUCUAUCUCACACAUUCUGUAUCUCACAUAGUGGACCCAUUAUCUAUUUAUCCAAUUUUGAAUAGUAAAUGUACUAUAUCACAAAUUAAGUUUUGAAAAUGUACUAUAAUGCUAAUUUUCCCCAUUUUUAAUUUGCUUGUUUGAUUCAAAACUGAUUCAAUUGCCUUUUAAAGACCAUCUUUUCCGGUUAUCUCUUGUCAAAUAAGAUUAAUGUUUUCUUUUAUAUAUUUUCCUCACAUACAUUGAACAACUCUCUAAAAUCAGUCUAUAUGAUCAUGCCCAAUCUUUUGGAGGUAAAUCCAUUUUAGAAAAUGCUAACCGGCUUUUUCAUGUUUUCCUAAAAGGCAAUAAGCUCAUUGAAGUCUCCAAUCAUUAUUAUGUGAAACUUUACUACAUGAUUACUCGUUAUGUUUGGGUUUAUUCGGUUGUUUUUAGGGUUUAGUAUUUACUAUAAUGUAUGUCUUUUAGCAAAUUGUUUUUUGAAAAAUAGACAUUUUUAAAAGUUCAAAAAUAGGAAAUCUAUAAAAAUUUAACAAAUAUGGCAUAUUCGUAAAAUUUGUCAUAAAAAUGGUAUUUUCAGUAAGAACCCCCUUUAAAAAUCGCCACUAAACAAUAGCUCUUUGCGUCUGGAGCUUAUAAUAAAUAAAAAUUAAUCAAAAGAUUUCAACAUAUACGUGACUUUUAGACGAUUAACUCUUGAAUUUGAGAGGAUUUUGUUACCGUUUAAACUUUAAAGUCUGUCUCUGUCCAAACUUGCUGCAAAAAUAUUUUGUUACCCUUGUCCCUUCUAUAUGCUCCACUUAUUGAGUAUCAGUGUAUAUUUUCUGCCCAAGUAAAAAUAACAAUGCUAAUCCAAUAAUGAAGUUCUUGUGUUUAUCUCUACAUGUGUGAACACUGGCUUUAUAAGUUUAUCGAAAUAUCCAAAAGACUAGUGGGGUGUUACCAUUUAUGGUGUUUCAAAAUUAUUUUACAAUGAAUCCAACAUCCAACCAUAAGGGGUCCCGACUUAAUUAACUAAGAAGGCAUACAUACUUAGACUUUUCUACUGUGAUAAACUCCUUUGUUUUUUUUUAUUGGCUUAUGGAUUAGUUUAUUUGACUUUUCUCAUUCCCUCCUUUUCGCUUCCUAUAAAUAGAAGCCAUGCAGGGUAACAUUUUAUAUCCAUCACACGUUUUAACAUACUAAGAGAGUUACAAGAAGAACUUGAAACAAAAAUGGCUUCCAAGGCUUUGAUUCUGUUAGGUUUCUUCGCAGUUCUUUUCGUCGUCUCGGAAGUGGCUGCGGCAGCUGAGGCACAGUCCGGUACGUAAUAUGAUUAUAUAUAGAUUUCAUUCUAUUUAAUACCUUCCUUUGGAGGUUAUUCAUGAAGCUAACGUAACAUGUGAUGGUUCAUCCUAUAAUCUUGUCCUUUCGAAGUUUAUUUGGAGUCUCUCUAUAGCCAAAACACUUAAUACGAUUUUUACUCACUAAAUUUAUCAUACUAUCUCAAACUGUAUAUUAAAUUAUCUAAAUCGUAACAAAAACUUGUUAAGGAAUGCACAAUAUGCACGAGCUAAAUUGAAAUGAUAUGUUGUUUUGGACAGGCAAGGUUAAGAGCGAGGAAGCAGCUGUGAAACCUGAUCAAUAUAAUGGUGGAGGUUACAACAAUGGAGGAGGCUACAACAACGGAGGAGGCUACAACAAUGGAGGAGGAGGCUACAACAACGGAGGAGGAGGUUACAACAACGGAGGAGGAGGAUACAAUAACGGAGGAGGAGGCUACAACAGAGGAGGAGGCUACAACAGAGGAGGAGGAUACAACCGCGGAGGAGGUGGAGGUUAUUGCGGCCAUGGAUGCUGCUUCAGAGGAUACAAUGGCUGCAGAAGGUGUUGCUCGUACGCUGGAGAAGCUGUUCAGACUCAGCCUGGUCACUAAAACAAUACAACGAUGCAUGAUUAAUGCAUUAUGUGUGUAUCACGUUAAGUAAAAACCAUGGUGCCUUUGUAAUGAAGUGUCUCAAGUGUUUGAGGCAACAUAGAUAAAAA
rnacentral:lncRNA from 1 species